GUCCUAACAGAUCACAGAGCCAUGGGAUGGUUGGGCUGGGUUAGAAAGGUCCUAACAGGUCACAGAGCCAUGGGAUGGUUGGGAUGGGUUGGGUUGGAAAGGUCCUAACAGGUCACAGAGCCAUGGGAUGGUUGGGUUGGGUUGGAAAGGUCCUUGCAGAUUACAGACAUGGGAUGGUUGGGUUGGGUUGGAAGGGUCCUAACAGGUCACAGAGCCAUGGGAUGGUUGGGUUGGGUUGGGUUGGAAAGGUCCUAACAGGUCACAGAGCCAUGGGAUGGUUGGGUUGGAAAGGUCCUAACAGGUCACAGAGCCAUGGGGUGGUUGGGUUGGAAAGGUCCUUGCAGAUUACAGACAUGGGAUGGUUGGGUUGGGUUGGAAGGGUCCUAACAGGUCACAGAGCCAUGGGGUGAUUGGGUUGGAAAGGUCCUAA